GCUCUCACUUCUGUGCAGUGGUGGAUUAAUGGAGAGGCAGAGUAGGCAUUUGCCUACGGCGGCAAAAUCUGGGGAGCAGCAAGUUUUGCCCUCCUCAGAUUUUGCCGUCCCUCUCUGUGGGCAGCGGCAGCUGCAACAAGGGUGGGGUGAGCAAGGAGAAAGUCCCCCUUUUUACCUUAAAAAAAAGGGGGGGGACAUUUUUUGUUUAAGAUAAAAGGGUGGCAAAAGCCUUUUUGCCUAUGGGCGGCCACAAGCUGAAUCCUCCCCUGCUUCUGUGUGCCUCUUUCUCUCACCAGAGGUUCCUUGCAAAGAGAAGCAAAACACCAUUGUCGACACCAACAAACCCCUGCCCCCCUUUCACCUGCCCUGGAAGGAUUCAGGAGGGAGCAGCUCCAGCAUAUGAUGCACCCCGGACAGGCUCACCACAAAGAGCUGAACUGAUGGAAUGGGCUGGCCAGCCUGAAAGGAGAAGAGAGAAAGGUGAGACACAGGGCUGCAGGUGGAGGCUGGAUGAAGGUGUUUUUGGUACUGCUGAAACAGAUGUUGGGAAAAGAAGCUUAUGAAAAGGAGCACAAGUGUUCAGAGACUCGCCUGCAUCAGUUUCGCCUGUGAACUCACACUGCCCAAACCCCAAAGUUUCAGAAUUAGGUAUGGAGAGGGGGCAAGUAUUAUUUAAUUAUUUUAUAUACCACCUUUCAAAAAAAAUGGCUCAGGGUGGGUUACAUCAA